rnacentral:rRNA from 1 species
AAGACCUUGCGCUUUUGGAGCGGCCGAUGCCUGAUUAGCUUGUUGGUAAGGUAAAAGCUUACCAAGGCUUCGAUCAGUAGCUGGUCUGAGAGGACGGCCAGCCACACUGGGACUGAGACACGGCCCAGACUCCUACGGGAGGCAGCGGUGGGGAAUUUUGGACAAUGGGGGCAACCCUGAUCCAGCCAUGCCGCGUGAGUGAAGAAGGCCUUCGGGUUGUAAAGCUCUUUCAGCCGGAACGAAACGGUUACGGUUAAUACCCGUGAUUACUGACGGUACCGGAAGAAGAAGCACCGGCUAACUACGUGCCAGCAGCCGCGGUAAUACGUAGGGUGCGAGCGUUAAUCGGAAUUACUGGGCGUAAAGCGUGCGCAGGUGGUUUUGUAAGUCAGAUGUGAAAGCCCCGGGCUCAACCUAGGAACU